rnacentral:lncRNA from 1 species
AAUACGAUUUUGAAAGUCUCUCUCCAUUGGGAAGAGCUGCUUUAAUCAAUGUUAAAUUUUUGUCAAAUGACUUCCAACUCCAUCGGUUCAUGGUUUCAAUAUGAAGCAAUUUUAUCAAUAAUUCUAACUUGAAGAACUUUGUACAAUUUGGAUAGAGUGACUCUCGUGCAUCCCUUACAAGCUUUGCAAACUAUUUAGAAGUCCCUUCUACCUCA